rnacentral:rRNA from 1 species
ACGCUGGCGGCGUGCCUAAUACAUGCAAGUCGAACGCACAGCGAAAGGUGCUUGCACCUUUCAAGUGAGUGGCGAACGGGUGAGUAACACGUGGACAACCUGCCUCAAGGCUGGGGAUAACAUUUGGAAACAGAUGCUAAUACCGAAUAAAACUUAGUGUCGCAUGACACAAAGUUAAAAGGCGCUUCGGCGUCACCUAGAGAUGGAUCCGCGGUGCAUUAGUUAGUUGGUGGGGUAAAGGCCUACCAAGACAAUGAUGCAUAGCCGAGUUGAGAGACUGAUCGGCCACAUUGGGACUGAGACACGGCCCAAACUCCUACGGGAGGCUGCAGUAGGGAAUCUUCCACAAUGGGCGAAAGCCUGAUGGAGCAACGCCGCGUGUGUGAUGAAGGCUUUCGGGUCGUAAAGCACUGUUGUAUGGGAAGAACAGCUAGAAUAGGAAAUGAUUUUAGUUUGACGGUACCAUACCAGAAAGGGACGGCUAAAUACGUGCCAGCAGCCGCGGUAAUACGUAUGUCCCGAGCGUUAUCCGGAUUUAUUGGGCGUAAAGCGAGCGCAGACGGUUUAUUAAGUCUGAUGUGAAAGCCCGGAGCUCAACUCCGGAAUGGCAUUGGAAACUGGUUAACUUAAGUGCAGUAGAGGUAAGUGGAACUCCAUGUGUAGCGGUGAAAUGCGUAGAUAUAUGGAAGAACACCAGUGGCGUAGGCGGCUUACUGGACUGCAACUGACGUUGAGGCUCGAAAGUGUGGGUAGCAAAC